rnacentral:rRNA from 1 species
CACGUAGGGCGCAAGCGUUGUCCGGAAUUAUUGGGCGUAAAGAGCUCGUAGGCGGUCUGUUACGUCUGCUGUGAAAACCCGGGGCUUAACCCUGGGCUUGCAGUGGAUACGGGCAGACUAGAGGCAGGUAGGGGAGAGUGGAAUUCCUGGUGUAGCGGUGAAAUGCGCAGAUAUCAGGAAGAACACCCGUGGCGAAGGCGGCUCUCUGGGACGGUACUGACGCUGAGACGCGAAAGCGUGGGGAGCAAACAGG